AAUUCAUCUCCGGGGGUAGAGCACUGUUUCGGCUAGGGGGCCAUCCCGGCUUACCAACCCGAUGCAAACUGCGAAUACCGGAGAAUGUUAUCACGGGAGACACACGGCGGGUGCUAACGUCCGUCGUGAAGAGGGAAACAACCCAGACCGCCAGCUAAGGUCCCAAAGUCAUGGUUAAGUGGGAAACGAUGUGGGAAGGCCCAGACAGCCAGGAUGUUGGCUUAGAAGCAGCCAUCAUUUAAAGAAAGCGUAAUAGCUCACUGGUCGAGUCGGCCUGCGCGGAAGAUGUAACGGGGCUAAACCAU
rnacentral:rRNA from 4 species